GAUGAAGAACGUAGCGAAAUGCGAUAAGUAAUGUGAAUUGCAGAAUUCAGUGAAUCAUCGAAUCUUUGAACGCACAUUGCGCCCCUUGGUAUUCCGGGGGGCAUGCCUGUUUGAGUGUCAUUAAAUUCUCAACUACACUGACUUUGAAUUGGUGUGGCUUGGAUUUGGGGGGAAAAUUGUUGUGGGCUUUUUGUAUAGUCUGCUCCCCUGAAAUUGAUUAGCGGUACCUUUGUGGAACUGUCUACAGGUGUGAUAAUUAUCUACAUCUUAGACAUCUGCUGGAAUGCUGCUUUCUAAACCUUACUUGUAUUGACAAUCUUGACCUCAAAUCAGGUAGGACUACCCGCUGAACUUAAGCAUAUCAAUAAGCGGAGGA
rnacentral:misc_RNA from 1 species